rnacentral:tRNA from 1 species
GCGGGAGUAAUUCAGUGGUAGAAUGAUUGCUUCCCAAGCAAUUCGUCGCCGGUUCGAGUCCGGUCUCCCGCUCCA